CGCCUGGGAGUUCGGGGUGGCUGGCGUGGGGCCCCCGCCCGCCCGCCCUGCCCGAGGCGGGGCCGACCCUGGGGGCCCCGCCCUGUCCGCGGGGCGCCGGCGCGGGGUGGGGGGCGCGCCCGGGGAGCGCGGGAAGGUGGGGAGCCCGAGGGGCUGGCGGACCUGGCCCGGGUGCCGCGCCCGCCAGGCUGCAGCGCUCCUAGAAGUGCCCCCUGAGGGUCCCGCCUGUGCGUGGCCCCGAGCCCGCGGCGCGGUCCUCCGGCCCGGGUGUGCGCCGAGCUCCGCGCGGAGCCUGCCCGCGGGCCUGGCCGGGCCGGCCGGCCGGGCCGCAGCCGCGCCGCUCCCAGCCCCGCAUGCCCCGGGCCGCUGCUCUGCUCCGGGGAAGCUGACCAGGCCGCCAGCCUCCUGGGCCUUUAGUUGCGGCCAUUGCUUCCCGGCCUGCAGCGCUCCCUCGCCCCAGAGUAAGACAUCGGGAACCCAGGAGGGGAGGACAGGCCAGUCCCCCUCCCAGGGAGGCGAGGCAGGUAGGAGGCAACAAGGCUCAGUCGCUGAGGAUGGGGUCUCCGAGCACCUGGGCGAGCACCUGGGCAUGUGGUCCGUGGGCCUGGCCUGGGGCUGGGGUUCUGGGGGGAAGGUGGGCAGCGGGGUGGAGUGGAAGGGGUUGCAUGGCUGGCUUCCUGUGCAGACCUGCAGCUGGUUCUAACAUGAGCAGAUACAUAUUAAACAGACAUCCCAUCCCCGCGGCCUGUUCUGUUCGGGAAGGGGAGCGGAGGGGAGGAGGGGAGCCAGUCUUUUGACGUCCCCCCUCGCCCCCCACCACGAGGAAGUUCUGUUUCCCUCUCUUCGUUCAUCUUUGCAGUUUUAUGUUUCAGACGUCCCUGCUCACAGUCUGGGUGUCGCAGGUGCUGCUCGGGGUCCCUGGGCCCAUGUGGCCAGAGCCUGCCUGGUGGCAGAGGCAGAUGGAAAGAAGACACAGUGGCCAUCUGUCUGUACAUCCCCAUUGGCCUCAUUGGCCUCCACCCAGAUGCCUCUGGGGGGAACUGGGGUUCGUUUCCCAUCUAGUAUGUUCCAGAGGUUUGACAGGAUGAAAGCCAGAGGCUUUUUCCCCACAGGGAAUAAGAAGCGGGCAGGGGGGCAGCGGGGGGAGAAUUUCUAAUCUUGCCAGUCUGGGGAAUUUGGGGGCCAAGUGUCAGGAAACCCGUUAAAGCAUCGUUGUAAUGCCUUAGUGAGUUGUUUUAAUAAAUCACAUCUUUUCACUGUAAGAGUAAUACUCGUUCAUUAGAGUUUGAGAAAGUGAAUCUAAUUAAUAACCUAACUACGUGGAGAUGUGGACUAUAACUGUCUUGGCGUGUUUCUUCCCAGUUUUUAAAUAGUGCUUGAUGAACAUUUCUGAUGAUAUGAUAGCCACCCCCCACCCCUUAUCCGCAGGGGACACGCUCCAAGACCCCUAUUGGCCUCCUGAAACCAUGGGCAUUGCGGACCCAUACACAGGCUGUUCACUCCGGUACAUACACACCUGUGAUUAAGCUUGGCUGGUAAACUAGGCCGAGGUCGAGAGUGACGAUAACAUAAUAAAAUAGCCUGGUAGUAACGGCAUGCUGUGCUGUGGUUACGUGGCUGUGGUCUUGCUCUCCUGUCGCCCUGUGCUCACCCCUCUAGGAUGCCGAGGGGUACAGGCAUGGGAUGCGUUGGGGGGCUGCUGCUGGCCUGAGCGUCUGGCAGAAGCGCCUGCCUCUGGACCGUGGCCACGGCAGGAACAGAGGUGGGGGGCUGCUUGGAAGUGUCCUUGGAAGUGACCUUAGUGUGUCGUCCAGGAUCUUCAUGGGAAGAACAAGAAGCAGCAUCAGUUUUUCAUCAAAACUCUCCUGUCAAGACUCCUGGAUGGCUCUGUUGGUCAAGUGUCUGACUCUUGGUUUCGGCUCAGGUCCUGAUGUCCUGAUCUCGGGGUGGUGGGAUUGGGCCUCACAUUGGGCUCUACAUUCAGCGUGGAGUCUGCUUGAAAUUCUCUCUUCCUCUCCCUCUGCCCCUCUUCCCCUUGCUCCUGCCUCUAAAAUAAAUAAAAUAAAUCUUUAAAAACAAAUACACGACAAA